rnacentral:rRNA from 1 species
AACGAACGCUGGCGGCAUGCCUAACACAUGCAAGUCGAACGAGACCUUCGGGUCUAGUGGCGCACGGGUGCGUAACGCGUGGGAACCUGCCCUUAGGUUCGGAAUAACUCCCCGAAAGGGGUGCUAAUACCGGAUAAUGUCUUCGGACCAAAGAUUUAUCGCCUUUGGAUGGGCCCGCGUUGGAUUAGCUAGUUGGUAGGGUAAAAGCCUACCAAGGCGACGAUCCAUAGCUGGUCUGAGAGGAUGAUCAGCCACACUGGGACUGAGACACGGCCCAGACUCCUACGGGAGGCAGCAGUGGGGAAUAUUGGACAAUGGGCGAGAGCCUGAGCCAGCAAUGCCGCGUGAGUGAUGAAGGCCUUAGGGUUGUAAAGCUCUUUUACCCGGGAUGAUAAUGACAGUACCGGGAGAAUAAGCGCCGGCUAACUCCGUG